CCUACGGGUGGCAGCAGUAGGGAAUCUUCGGCAAUGGGGGCAACCCUGACCGAGCAACGCCGCGUGAGUGAAGAAGGUUUUCGGAUCGUAAAGCUCUGUUGUAAGAGAAGAACGUGUGUGAGAGUGGAAAGUUCACACAGUGACGGUAACUUACCAGAAAGGGACGGCUAACUACGUGCCAGCAGCCGCGGUAAUACGUAGGUCCCGAGCGUUAUCCGGAUUUAUUGGGCGUAAAGCGAGCGCAGGCGGUUGGAUAAGUCAGCGGUAAAAGCCCGGGGCUCAACCCCGGCGAGCCGUUGAAACUGGCUGUCUUGAGAUGUCGAGAGGUAUGCGGAAUGCGCAGUGUAGCGGUGAAAUGCUUAGAUAUUGCGCAGAACUCCGAUUGCGAAGGCAGCAUACCGGCGGCGAUCUGACGCUGAGGCACGAAAGCGUGGGUAUCGAACAGGAUUAGAUACCCCAGUAGUC
rnacentral:rRNA from 1 species